AUUGAACGCUGGCGGCAGGCCUAACACAUGCAAGUCGAGCGAGCGGCGGACGGGUGAGUAAUGUCUGGGAAACUGCCUGAUGGAGGGGGAUAACUACUGGAAACGGUAGCUAAUACCGCAUACCAUCGGAUGUGCCCAGAUGGGAUUAGCUAGUAGGUGGGGUAAAGGCUCACCUAGGCGACGAUCCCUAGCUGGUCUGAGAGGAUGACCAGCCACACUGGAACUUAGACACGGUCCAGACUCCUACGGUAGGCAGCAGUGGGUAAUAUUGCACAAUGGGCGCAAGCCUGAUGCAGCCAUGCCGCGUGUAUGAAGAAGGCCUUCGGGUUGUAAAGUACUUUCAGCGGGGAGGCGUUACCCACAGAAGAAGCACCGGCUAACUCCGUGCCAGCAGCCGCGGUAAUUC
rnacentral:rRNA from 1 species